UGCUGUUUUGACAGUAAAGUUACUGUAAUCCCUGCAGUUUUUACAGCUGAACUAACCAAUAGGAUGUAACUGUAACAUUUGGGCUUUUCACAAUAAAACGUCAUUAUUCUUAGCAGUUCUCUAGAUGUGCAGUGUAUUCUGGGAAAUUUCUGAGCAACUGAUAUUUAGUUGUUAUCUGUGGCAGAAGUACCACUAGUGAUGUGAUCCAUAUGAUGGUCCUGCACUCCUCAGUUCUGUGGUUCCUGUGAUGAUUUAUUAGAUGAUUUUAAGUAGGAUGUCAUGAGACAUAUCUGUUUACGCUGUGUGGAAAUCCUUUUCUGGACUUUUUAACACAGGUGGUCCAAAGAAAGGCAUCGUGGUAAUUUCAGCAUAUUUGUCCCAUCUCAGUGAGUCGUCUGAGGGUAGUAGAGAGAACAUCGUCUGCCUACUUUGAUUUCCACGCCUUGAGAAACAGCCACAGGAGGGGAUGGAUCUCAUUGUUGCCCACCGAGUUCUUCCAGAUGUCUCACAUCCUCAUUUUACUGUGAGAACAAGGGCGAGCAUGUGUGAGGCAUGUCAGCUGGUGGGGAGUCCUCAAACAUCUUGCAUCCACAUUGUUUCUUUGAUAUGAGUCACCCCCAACACGUCUACUUGCUUAUGCAAACAAAAUGAGCCGUGUCCUUGUGUCUUCAAAGAUUUUUACAGGAGUCAGUUUCGUGAGGUUCUUUUGUAAUUGUCUGUGGUUCUGGUAGAAAACACCAAGGUGGAGCUUUUUUCAGAGUCAAUUUGAGAGGACUUGGAGGGAUCAGUGGCUGAUCAACCUGACUGGAAAGGAAAUGGACAGCUGGAACCCCGGGUGUCAGGUUCUAGUUAAACUGUGGUUUCCUGAAGGUUCUUCAGUUUCUCGUUGGCUGCUUUUUCCAAAAUAAUGAGGAAAAUGGAGCAACUGAUGGGUGGAUGGCAUCUACAAAGCAUCCUCUUUUGUCUGCUGAUCUUCACUGUGGAUGACCCAGCGACUGCCUGAUCACCAGGUUGAUGUCGCUACUUGUGUCCGUCGAUGGGGCCUUUAUUGUCUAUUAUGCAGCUUCAGUGGCGUCUAAUGGGGUGAUGAAUGUUGCUGUUUGUUUAUCCACUCAACCCAAAUUUCUGCUGCAGAAAUCAGAAGCUACACCUGGCCUGACUCUGAUGCACUGGGUUAUGAUGUUUUAUUGGGGCUGCAGACACAACUUGAAUUGCAUGGACUAAAUUUCUCUUCUUGAACUGGACCUUCAUACCAAUAUCUUCCAAACUGACUGGGAAUGUGGAGAUACAACAGUCAAAGAAGAGGACAAAGUUUGCUAGCGGCUACAGUUUCUUGUUAAGUCCAAAGAGACGUGUGUUUUCUGUACUUGGUUCAGUUCGGGGCCGAUUCGUAUUCAGACCAUAAGCGAACCGCACCAGAGUCCGUUUGGAAGCGAACCAAGACCCAUUUUUGGAGGUGUUCUCGGUUCGCUUGUUUGGUGCGGACCAGGGUUCGCUUUAGUGUAUUUAGACCUGCACAAAAGGUCCGGAACAAUGGGGGAAAUGAACUCUGGUCCGUUUAAAGCGGACCACAAGUGGCAGGUGUGAAUACACCCCAAGUCUCCGGGAAAUCUGGCUUUUGAUCAGCAGCAGAAAUGAAACCUGAUGUUCUGUGAAUCGGACCUGACAGACCAGGAUCUGAGGAGAAAACUGUCUCUGAUUCUUCUUUCUCUGAAUGGAAAAUAAAAGCAAAUAAAAGCAGAA